AGUGUCUCCCUCAUUGUUGAACAGAGCAGUUUCAUUUCCUGACGAGGAUGACUUGCUGGCCUCUGUUCUCCCGGUGUGAGGUGUGCUUGGCUCCAUGGAACAGCCCAGACUGCUGCUUGCCAGUCCACACUGUCUUCUUGGGAUGCCACCUGUUCCCAGUCUCCAGCACCAAGUGCUUAUGAACACACAGCAGGAAGAGCUCCCAACCUUCAUGUGGCCUCCGCUGGAGCUUUAGAGUCUCUGCCCACCAGCCUUAGGGCAGCUCCCGAGGAUGUCAACAGAGCUGAGGAUCCAACCCAGGCCUGUGCCUAGACAAGCGGUCUAUCCAACCCCAAACAAAUUUUUAAACAAACAAUUCAAUGGUAAACCAAGUCAACCCAAAGAUACAUUUACUGAAAUGUAGAUCUCAUCUUCUAAGUGAUAAUUAGGAAUUCUUGAAGUCUUAAGUUAAAACUUACUUCUUAUAUUAGCUCAAUAAAACCUUGGCUUUCAAAGCAGACACAUGAGGAAUUAUCUUUUUUUUAAACAAAGGAUCCAUUCUUUCAUGAUCCAAGUUCAUUGCUUUCCCAUAUUUCCCCCUGUGUAUCUGGGCAGAGCACCUGCCG